CGGUGGUGGUGGCGGAGGAUGUAUGUGAGCAAAGAGAGGAGAAGGCUAGUGCAAUUCUUGUUUUUGAGGAUAAGAGUACUGUGUUGGUGAACGGUUCUGUGGAGGUUGAGGAUAAAGAGGAUGAGGAUGACUUUGUAAUCUCAAGGUCCACGUGGAUUCCUCCGAAGAGGAUGGAUUCGUCGGAGAAUCUGAUGGAGCUUCUUCUACCG
rnacentral:misc_RNA from 1 species